UACGUAGGUGGCAAGCGUUGUCCGGAAUUAUUGGGCGUAAAGCGCGCGCAGGCGGUCUUUUAAGUCUGAUGUGAAAGCCCACGGCUCAACCGUGGAGGGUCAUUGGAAACUGGGGGACUUGAGUGCAGGAGAGAAGAGUGGAAUUCCACGUGUAGCGGUGAAAUGCGUAGAGAUGUGGAGGAACACCAGUGGCGAAGGCGACUCUUUGGCCUGUAACUGACGCUGAGGCGCGAAGCGUGGGGAGCAAACAGG
rnacentral:rRNA from 1 species